rnacentral:misc_RNA from 1 species
UCUUUUCCAUAUGCCUGUAAG